CCUACGGGUGGCAGCAGUGAGGAAUAUUGGUCAAUGGGCGCGAGCCUGAACCAGCCAAGUAGCGUGAAGGAAGAAGGCUUUCGGGUUGUAAACUUCUUUUAAGAGGGAAGAGCAGAAGACGGUACCUCUUGAAUAAGCCACGGCUAACUACGUGCCAGCAGCCGCGGUAAUACGUAGGUGGCAAGCGUUGUCCGGAUUUACUGGGUGUAAAGGGCGUGCAGCCGGGAAGACAAGUCAGAUGUGAAAUCCCGCGGCUCAACCGCGGAACUGCAUUUGAAACUGUUUUUCUUGAGUACCGGAGAGGUCAUCGGAAUUCCUUGUGUAGCGGUGAAAUGCGUAGAUAUAAGGAAGAACACCAGUGGCGAAGGCGGGUUCCUGGACAUUAACUGACGCUGAGGCACGAAGGCCAGGGGAGCGAAAGGGAUUAGAUACCCUUGUAGUC
rnacentral:rRNA from 1 species